GGAUGUCUGGUGCCCAACCUGAUGUGCGCAGUGAACCGUAGUCCCUGAUAGACACCACUGCAGACAUUAAAGGUUAAACUGAACCAUUUCUUUUUUGCUUCAUGCUCAAGGAGACCUGCGACACCUAAUUUUAAGACUUUGCUAAGCAGACACCCAUGUAGAGGUACGUAACGAUUUUUCAUUUGAG
rnacentral:lncRNA from 1 species